ACGAACGCUGGCGGCGUGCUUAACACCUGCCAGUCGCACGGAAAGGCCCUGCUUUUGUGGGGUGCUCGAGUGGCGAACGGGUGAGUAACACGUGAGUAACCUGCCCUUGACUUUGGGAUAACUUCAGGAAACUGGGGCUAAUACCGGAUAGGAGCUCCUGCUGCCUGGUGGGGGUUGGAAAGUUUCGGCGGUUGGGGAUGGACUCGCGGCUUAUCAGCUUGUUGGUGGGGUAGUGGCUUACCAAGGCUUUGACGGGUAGCCGGCCUGAGAGGGUGACCGGCCACAUUGGGACUGAGAUACGGCCCAGACGCCUACGGGAGGCAGCAGUGGGGAAUAUUGCACAAUGGGCGGAAGCCUGAUGCAGCAACGCCGCGUGCGGGAUGACGGCCUUCGGGUUGUAAACCGCUUUCGCCUGUGACGAAGCGUGAGUGACGGUAAUGGGUAAAGAAGCACCGGCUAACUACGUG
rnacentral:rRNA from 1 species